AUNAAGGAACCGGCGNGGCUAAGUAUAAGCAAUUAUACCGCGAAACUGCGAAUGGCUCAUUAAAUCAGUUAUCGUUUAUUUGAUAGUUCCCUACUACUUGGAUAACCGUGGUAAUUCUAGAGCUAAUACAUGCAAAAAACCGCGACUUCGGAAGCGGUGUAUUUAUUAGAUUAAAGACCAAUGCCCUUCGGGGCUGACUGGUGAUUCAUGAUAACUUCUCGAAUCGCACGGCCUUGCGCCGGCGAUGGUUCAUUCAAAUUUCUGCCCUAUCAACUUUCGACUUUAGCGUAGUGGGCUAAAGUGGUUACAACGGGUAACGGAGGGUUAGGGCUCGACCCCGGAGAAGGAGCCUGAGAGACGGCUACUACAUCCAAGGAAGGCAGCAGGCGCGCAAAUUACCCAAUCCCGACACGGGGAGGUAGUGACAAUAAAUACUGAUACAGGGCUCUUUUGGGUCUUGUAAUUGGAAUGAGUACAAUUUAAAUCCCUUAACGAGGAACAAUUGGAGGGCAAGUCUGGUGCCAGCAGCCGCGGUAAUUCCAGCUUCAAUAGCGUAUAUUAAAGUUGGUGUGGNUAAAAAGCUCGUAAUUGAACCUGGGCCUCGCGCAGACCGGUCCGCCUCACCGCGUGCACUGGUCCUGCCGGGGCUUUCACUAGGGGAUUCGCAUGCCCUUCACUGGGCGUGCGCGGAACCUGGACCUUUACUGUGAAAAAAUUAGAGUGUUCAAAGCAGGCCUAUGCUCGAAUACAUUAGCAUGGAAUAAUAGAAUAGGACGUGUGGUUCUAUUUUGUUGGUUAUGGGACCGCCGUAAUGAUUAAUAGGGACAGUCGGGGGCAUCAGUAUUCAAUUGUCAGAGGUGAAAUUCUUGGAUUUAUUGAAGACUAACUACUGCGAAAGCAUUUGCCAAGGAUGUUUUCAUUAAUCAGGAACGAAAGUUAGGGGAUCGAAGACGAUCAGAUACCGUCGUAGUCUUAACCAUAAACUAUGCCGACUAGGGAUCGGGCGAUGUUACUUUUUGACUCGCUCGGCACCUUACGAGAAAUCAAAGUUUGUGGGUUCC
rnacentral:rRNA from 1 species